CCUACGGGUGGCUGCAGCGGGGAAUAUUGGACAAUGGGCGAAAGCCUGAUCCAGCCAUGCCGCGUGUGUGAAGAAGGCCUUCGGGUUGUAAAGCACUUUCAGUGGGGAAGAAAGCCUUGGGGCUAAUACCCUCGAGGAAGGACAUCACCCACAGAAGAAGCACCGGCUAACUCCGUGCCAGCAGCCGCGGUAAUACGGAGGGUGCGAGCGUUAAUCGGAAUUACUGGGCGUAAAGCGCGCGUAGGCGGUCUGAUAAGCCGGUUGUGAAAGCCCCGGGCUCAACCCGGGAACGGCAUCCGGAACUGUCAGGCUAGAGUGCAGGAGAGGAAGGUAGAAUUCCCGGUGUAGCGGUGAAAUGCGUAGAGAUCGGGAGGAAUACCAGUGGCGAAGGCGGCCUUCUGGACUGACACUGACGCUGAGGUGCGAAAGCGUGGGUAGCAAACAGGAUUAGAUACCCGAGUAGUC
rnacentral:rRNA from 1 species